UACGUAGGGGGCUAGCGUUGUCCGGAAUCAUUGGGCGUAAAGCGCGUGUAGGCGGUCCGGUAAGUCCGCUGUGAAAGUCGGGGGCUCAACCCUCGAAAGCCGGUGGAUACUGUCGGGCUAGAGUGCGGAAGAGGCGAGUGGAAUUCCUGGUGUAGCGGUGAAAUGCGCAGAUAUCAGGAAGAACACCAAUGGCGAAAGCAGCUUUCUGGGACGGUACUGACGCUGAGACGCGAAAGCGUGGGGAGCGAACAGG
rnacentral:rRNA from 1 species